rnacentral:tRNA from 3 species
GUUUUUAUAGUGUAAGAAACAUAUAAUUUUUUCAAAAUUAAGCUGAUUAGUAAUUUAAAAACA